GUGCUCGCUUCAGCAACAUAUAUACUAAAAUUGGAACAAUACAGAGAAAUUAGCAUGACCCCUGCACAAGAAGGACACUCAAAUUCGUGAAGUGUACCAUAUUAAA